rnacentral:lncRNA from 1 species
AAUAAAUGAGCUGAUGAGAGCAAUUUUCUGCUUCCUGGGCCACCACAGUCUUCUUUGCUGUUUUUGAUUGCAACCAUUUUCAGAGAAGAAUCAACACCAAAGAUCAUCAAGCCAUGUAGCAAUUGAGAUAAAGACCUAACAUGAAGAAUUCUAUUCUGAGAUCCAGAAGAAAUGAAUCACAGACCCAGUUUGUUUCUUUUCGCAUCUUUGUCAUACUGAAUACACACCUAGCCUUCUCAAGUCUUUGGUUACUUAGCGUGUUCAGAGUAUGCUGACCACAGUCAUAGAGAGAAAAAACAAGUUUUAUGUUAGUACCUGACUCCACUGAAAGAUGUGCCAUUUAAAAAGUCCUAAAAGACCUUUUUAAUAAUGACAUUGUAUUUAUUUUAGAAUAAAAUUUAAAAUUAAAA